CCUACGGGGCGCACCAGUGGGGAAUAUUGCACAAUGGGCGCAAGCCUGAUGCAGCCAUGCCGCGUGUAUGAAGAAGGCCUUCGGGUUGUAAAGUACUUUCAGCGGGGAGGGAGGUGUUGAGGUUAAUAACCUCAGCAAUUGACGUUACCCGCAGAAGAAGCACCGGCUAACUCCGUGCCAGCAGCCGCGGUAAUACGGAGGGUGCAAGCGUUAAUCGGAAUUACUGGGCGUAAAGCGCACGCAGGCGGUCUGUCAAGUCGGAUGUGAAAUCCCCGGGCUCAACCUGGGAACUGCAUUCGAAACUGGCAGGCUGGAGUCUUGUAGAGGGGGGUAGAGUUCCAGGUGUAGCGGCGAAAUGCGUAGAGAUCUGGAGGAAUACCGGUGGCGAAGGCGGCCCCCUGGACAAAGACUGACGCUCAGGCGCGAAAGCGUGGGGAGCAAACAGGAUUAGAUACCCCGGUAGUC
rnacentral:rRNA from 1 species